AAGAAUUUAUUCGGGCCCAACCAUGGAUUUUUUGGGCCUCAACAAGAAGGAACAACAUGUGUUGUUGAUCCAUAUCCCUCUCAACACUAAACGUCUUCAAGUAGUUGGAGAAUGAGCAGUUCUGGUUGAGGGUGGCAGGAGAUACAGUGAACUUCUUAGCCAGCCGGUCAUAAUUCUUCCCUCUAUGGUAAGCACCAACUGCAUCAGCAAGGCUUUCAUGAGGCCUGAACCCGAAGAUUUGAGUCAUAUCCGUCAUAGUUGGAAUCAUGGGGCCCACAUUGAAGUCAAAAGUAUUAUUGGUAGAAUUCCAGAAACAGAGAACAUCAGCCAGCAGAUUCUCGUCCCUAUUCACAGACUGCUUGGACAGAAGUAUGACAUCAUAAAUG
rnacentral:lncRNA from 1 species